GCCUCCCUUGGAUCCUCCGAAGAUCGACUCAGAAGCCACUGACACGAAGACAAAACCUAACCCUAAUCCUUCAAAUUUUGGUGGAUAAAUGUCAGAGAGGGAAAACCAAGAAGCAAAUCAAUUUGGUUGAUAAUUGGUGGAGAAAUGUCAGAGAGGGAAAACCAAGAAGCAAAUCAAUUUGGGGAGAGAUGGUUUGACUCACAAUAUACUGAAUGAUAUUCAUAACCAUUGGAAACAUGAAGAAGCAGUGAGGAUGAAAUGUCAAGGUGUUCCAACUGUUGACAUGAGAAAUAUUUGCACCCAGCUCGAGCUCAGCAAAUCUUUAUGGUUUUGAGCUAAAAAUGGAGAGGGCUUUCUUGGGUUUGAGUUCAAAUAAGAGCUGUGUGAACGUGAAAGAUGAAGCCAAUGAUGAACUCAAGAAUUCAGUGGGCGGUAAAGGAUCGAAAAGUGUAUACCCAACAACAACUUGACGAGGUGCGCAUUGAAGUAGCCGACUACUUACAGACUCUGCUGUAGAUUCUGACCAGUUUCUUGAUUUUGAGUUAGGCUAGCUUUUGAUUAACAUUUUGUAGCAAUUAUGAACAAAAAUGAAUACUAAUUGCUAGGCUAGCCUUGUAGUAGGUGAAUUGGGGUUUUAUUCUGCCCAUUUUGUAAAUUGUUAAGGAUGAUGAUUUCAGAUAAAAUACCCCAAUAUUUCAAAUCACUCUUGUCAAUUGUCG